rnacentral:lncRNA from 1 species
CUGGGCUUAGGCGCGCGCGUCGGGAGGGGCUGAAGUCCAGGCGGAGGCGGGCGCGAGGCUGCGGGACGGGUGGACGUUCCCGCCCAGCGCCUUGGCCACGCUGGCGAGGCCCUUCCUCCCUCGGGGAGCCCGGCUCUGCCGGUCUGUACGAGGAUCUGGUCUAGAGGCUCGGGGGUGCGCGGGGUGGGGAGUCGGGGGCGGGCGGGGAAGGACCUGUCCCCGGGACCCCAGGGUGCCAAAGAAGGAGAAAGGGAACACGAGCUGGGAGGACGCAUCAACAGGUGGCGAAGGUGCGGCUGGCGGGGGAACGGGGUGAGUGUGGAGCUUCAGGACCCCCGUGACCUGGUGAAGAGAGUCUGGCCGUAAAGCAUGAUGGAUAGACGAAUUCGGUUGAUCGGGGACGUUCCGCUCUGCUGGAGAUGGAGAUCUGACCCAGGAGGGGUCCCACCCGGGACCUGCACUGUUGUGGGUGGGCGAG